GUGGGGAAUAUUGGACAAUGGGCGAAAGCCUGAUCCAGCCAUGCCGCGUGUGUGAAGAAGGUCUUCGGAUUGUAAAGCACUUUAAGUUGGGAGGAAGGGCAUUAACCUAAUACGUUAGUGUUUUGACGUUACCGACAGAAUAAGCACCGGCUAACUUCGUGCCAGCAGCCGCGGUAAUACGAAGGGUGCAAGCGUUAAUCGGAAUUACUGGGCGUAAAGCGCGCGUAGGUGGUUCGUUAAGUUGGAUGUGAAAGCCCCGGGCUCAACCUGGGAACUGCAUCCAAAACUGGCGAGCUAGAGUACGGUAGAGGGUGGUGGAAUUUCCUGUGUAGCGGUGAAAUGCGUAGAUAUAGGAAGGAACACCAGUGGCGAAGGCGACCACCUGGACUGAUACUGACACUGAGGUGCGAAAGCGUGGGGAGCAAACAGGAUUAGAAACCCGGGUAGUCC
rnacentral:rRNA from 1 species